CGAGGACGAACGCUGGCGGCGUGCCUAACACAUGCAAGUCGAGCGGGGAACUACGAUGAAGUUUCGGAUGGAUUCGUAGUUUCUAGCGGCGGACGGGUGAGUAACGCGUGAGCAACCUGCCUAUCACUGGGGAAUAACGCAGCGAAAGUUGUGCUAAUACCGCAUGAGACCACAGAGGGACAUCCCUUAGGGGUCAAAGAUUUUAUCGGUGAUAGAUGGGCUCGCGUCUGAUUAGCUAGUUGGUGAGGUAACGGCCCACCAAGGCGACGAUCAGUAGCCGACCUGAGAGGGUGAUCGGCCACAUUGGAACUGAGAAACGGUCCAAACUCCUACGGGAGGCAGCAGUGGGGAAUAUUGGGCAAUGGGCGCAAGCCUGACCCAGCAACGCCGCGUGAAGGAAGAAGGUCUUCGGAUCGUAAACUUCUAUCCUUGGUGAAGAUAAUGACGGUAGCCGAGAAGGAAGCCCCGGCUAACUACGUG
rnacentral:rRNA from 1 species